CUUCGGACGUUUUCUUUCUCACUCCCUCUACAAAACCUAGAAAUGUAGUACAGGAGGCAGGGAAAAAAAAGUCUUUUUAACUUAAAAUCAUGUAAAUGCUAUCUGCAACAUUAAAAGAAACCUGCUCCUAGUGAUACAGCUAGUAAUAAAACACAAAAGAUUUGUAUCGGUUCUAGUGUAACAUUGUACCUGCUGAUACUGUGGUUUCGGUAGAUGUCAGCUGGGGAAUAUAUAGGCUGAAGGAAAGUUUGUUGACAGAAAUUGGGAAACUUUGAUUUUUUUUCCCCCAGUUACCUUUUUUUUUCCCCUUUCCUUUUCUUCCCAUUCCUGUUUAGGCUCAUAAUCUUCCAAAAGCUACUGCAGCAGACCACACAUUUCUUCUGAAGGAUCCAGAUGCUCAAAUGAUGCAAAGAAACGUGGCCUACUGUCAGAGCAGACCUGAUGCUGAGGAGCAAAUUAGAGAUUGCAGACAAAACCUUACGAGGUUUGGUCAGAAAUUCGUAACAGGGCUGUUGGAAGAAGUACUGGAAGUGAGGCUGGACUGGCAACAAAUCCACACUGUAUUUUGGCAAAAAAGGGACACAGUUAGGUUGAUUACUCCCCUGUCUUGUAGAUUACAAUGACUGAUUUGGGAUCAGCACCCCAAAGUCUUCCUCCCAAGGGUGCUGAGCGGAGCGGGGGUGGGCAGGGCUGCACCCCCGUGUCACAAUGCCACCACCCAGCAAUGCUGAGGUCACAAUGCUCCGGGCAGGAUCAAAAGGAGCAGCCGGGUCUCGUGUCCACUGCCAGAGCUGGCCCGGGGGCAGCCCCAACACAUCCCACAGGAAGCACUUGAGGAGCUGCUGGAAUCACAGGGCAGGGGCUGAGGGAGGAAGACUUUGCAUGAGGCUGCAGAAGGUUCUCCACUUCAAGGUGAUCUGCUGGCAGGGCCACCUUCCAAGCUCAGCUCAAGGAUGGAAAUCCUUUUCAGCUGGAUGGCAGUGGAGAGAGCAAGGGAAUUUCUUCUGGAGGAGCACAGCAGAGCUCACCAUCCUCAUCCCCUGCGGAGUCAGGCUCAGGAGCCGUAAGAAAUAGGAGGUAGAGGGGUUGCCAGGGGUUGCAGUGCUUUGGAACACCCACUGGUGUCCCACCAGGCACAGAAACGAUUCUUGCCCCCAAGGUCCAUCAGGUCAGAGGCAUUUGGGCACUCUCGGAAGUCCGGGAGAUGGCUCCAGCUCAAGGGAGGAUAGGAUAGGAUAGGAUAGGAUAGGAUAGGAUAGGAUAGGAUAGGAUAGGAUAAGGCUUGGGCAGGUCCUGGGAGGCAUGAGCAGCCUGUGGGACAAGGAGCCAGGUCUGGCUCACAUGCUCAGGGAACAGCCGAUCGCCAGCACUGGGGUCAGGAAGGAAUUUUUUCCCCCGGGGCAGAUUGGCCCUGGUCCCCGGGGGUUUUUUGCCUUCCUCUGCAGCAUUGAGCAUGACCACUUUGCAGAGCUCCUCUGGGCCCUUUUGGCUCGGUUCCUACCUGCUGCUCAAGCACCAGGAAGAUGGCCUCUCGUGCCCUGCAGCUGGGGGGAGGAAGGCUUUUUUUUCCCCCAUGUGGGACACCAAGUGUCUCUGGGGGUUUUUUGCCUUCCUCUGCAGCAUUGAGCACGGCCCCUUGCCACGGCUUCUUUGGGCCAUUUGGGCUGGGUGCCUGCUGCUCCACGAGGUGGCCCUAAACUUAGCUAGAACAGCCUACCUAAACCAGCAUAGAACAACUAACCUAAACCAACCUUAAACAACUUGAAAUAACCAACGUUAAAGAACCUAAACCAAUCUAGCUUCAAAAUCUUAAAACAACCAACUCUGAACAAUGGAAAAAGAACUUUCAACAAUCUACAACAUACCACCUGAACCAACCUAAAUCAACCUCAAGCAACCAACCGAAACCAAAGCCAAACAAACAACCUUCAAUGACCUCCAAGAACCCAGCUUCAACAACUUGAAGCGUCUGAGAAACAGACAACCUACAAACACACAACCAGCCUCAGACAGCACAAAACAACAAACCCCAAACAACCUCAACCAAGCUAAGCCAAAUGACCAAAAAACCCUCAACCACCAAACAACCAAAACCAAACCUACCAAAAAACACAAUCUAAACGACCUAUUCAACCUAAACCACCAGAAAACACCUCAACAGCCUCAAACAGCCUACCCAAAUCAAGUCACCUAACCCAAACUACCUAAAAAAACCUAAAUCAACCUCAACCAAACAACCCGAACCAACCUCAACACAAACCCUUCAAGCGACCUCAACGAUGGAAACCAAACCUCCCUAGACCAACCUACCUAAAAGCACAAACAUCCACCAACCUACCUGAACUGCCUUCUGAAAAAAACAGAAACAAAUCAAACCAACCUCAAAGAACCAACCGAAGCCACCCAUCCUCAAAUUAUCUAAACAGCCCCAACCAAACCACCUACACCAACCUCAAACAAAAUA